UACGGAGGAUGCAAGCGUUGUCCGGAAUGAUUGGGCGUAAAGCGUCCGCAGGUGGCAAUGUAAGUCUGCUGUUAAAGAGUCUAGCUCAACUAGAUAAAAGCAGUGGAAACUACAUAGCUAGAGUACGGUCGGGGCAGAGGGAAUUCCUGGUGUAGCGGUGAAAUGCGUAGAGAUCAGGAAGAACAUCGGUGGCGAAAGCGCUCUACUGGACCGCAACUGACACUCAGGGACGAAAGCUAGGGGAGCGAAUGGG
rnacentral:rRNA from 1 species